GCCAUCACCCCACCAACUAGCUGAUAGGCCGCGGGCCCAUCCCACACCGCAAAAGCUUCCACCACAAGGCAUGCGCCAAGUGGUCCUAUCCGGUAUUAGACCCAGUUUCCCAGGCUUAUCCCGAAGUGCAGGGCAGAUUGCCCAC
rnacentral:rRNA from 1 species